rnacentral:lncRNA from 9 species
AUGGCCAAGUCAUAUACCUUAUUGAGGUUAUGGUUUCUCCUGAAAGAAAUAGCUACCUCUGCUGUCUGUCACCCUAGGACUGGUCAACCCUGGAGCCUAAAACUUGGAAGGCAAGCUGAGAUAUGAAUGGAAGUAUAGUCCAGGCCUUUGUAAAGAGACAAAUAGGAGAACUGGAAGUGAAGCUGACAUUGCCAAGGGCAGGCAGCUGCAGCAGGUUUGGAUGACAUCGGUGAGCAACUGAGUCAAAUCAACCCUAAAAACAAUCUACGUUUAGCAUUCAGUCACGUAA